ACUAUUGCUUGCACUCCACGUUAGGUUUCCUUUACAAAAUAUUAUGAACUAUGUAGUUGUCUUGAAUAUAGCUUAACUCUAUACAUUUUAUUAACUAUCAUUGUUUCUUGUGAAUGGGUUCUCCAUGUCUUUAGUUUCACCUUUUCAAGAAUUGCUCAUCAUUGAUACAGAGUUGAAUAAUAAUGGCUCGUUUCACAAAGAAUUUAGAUUCCAAAGCGACAUUUGCGUCCGUAUGCUGUCUAUACUGAAACUAUCUUCGCUCCAAGUGUCAUUCUUCCAAUUUCUGGAUUAAAUAUCCAACACUGGGUUUCAAGUAGGUUUGAGGAGAGCGCCUGAUCUUAAUAAUCACACCACACCAUGCUUGGAUGACGGAGGACUAUAUUUUCUUUUGGAUUUUCCCACUCUAUUGGACUAACCAGAAUACUCGAGGAUUGGAUUUUAAUGCCUUCCAAGGUUUUUACAAAUCGCUCAAAACAUUUUUAAAACACAAAAGACAAUUUGGCAUACGAAGCAAUCGAAUCCCUUUUCAAAGAUGAGUAAUAGAUCGCAAAUCAUGAAUAACCAGGCAAUAAAUGCAAUCCCAUUGAAUUAAAAAUAAAAGUUGAAUAUCUUUCCGAUACGAUAUGCAUUAAAAUCGUUCAGGUGAAUUUUCCAAAAUACUCAAACUACAAUUCAAUUAUUCCAAUAAUUUUCAUGAUUGAUAAUUUGGAGAUCAGCUCUAUUCUAAAUAUUGAUUGUCCAAAAUCUUUCAUUUAACUCCCUAUACAGUUUCGUGUCGAGAUAUUUCUAACUAAUAUCAAAUGUUUCAUUGAACUUGUUGACAAUUCCUUUGGUUUCUUCAUAAUACAGCUUCCACUUCUUUCAGUACGUUAAAACGUUAGUUUCGGUGAUUACAUGCUGUUAUUCGAACUUCUGCUUAAGAAUUGUGAUAUAGCAAAUCUCGGAUUGUGUAGUAAAAAUUAAAUUCUUAAAAAGGAGACUUUUAUUGUUAAAACAAGUUUAACUACUUAAUCAAGAGCCGCAUCUGGAUGUUGAGAAUAAAAAUCUUAUAGUUGAUAUUUGUUCGUGUCGAAGAAUUUUUGUCGAAAACAAGGUUUUAUAAGAAAAGGAAUAAAUUGUUUGUUCAAAUAUUAAAAUUCCAAACACCAAGGCGUACUAGUUUUCUGCUCUAUUGGUUAUGGAAUUUCCUAGAUAUACUAUAGAGAAGUGAGUAAGUGCUGAAUACAAUCAGACAGAUCGAGAUAAAUUUGUGCACGAUGAAAAGAAUUUUUCUGGAUGAUGAAAAUGUUAAAUAAAAGACUUUUUAACUUUGAGUAGUUUUCAGAAUGACCUAAUUUUUUUAAAUGAAUGAGUGAUAAAUCGAAUUUCUGUUCUAUGUGAUGGCAGGGGAAUACAAAAAUUAUUGAAAUUCUAAUGUCACUAGCCUUUUUAUAGGAGUUAAAUGCGUUAUUUUGUAAUUCAUGUUAAAAGUGUAAGGAUUUUUACAUUUUAAAAACGUGAAAAGUGCUAGUCGCUGAUUCAUAAGUGGAACCUAUAGUGCACACUUAAA